rnacentral:rRNA from 1 species
UUUAGAUGUAAAAUGUUGCAAUAAUAGAACUUGAGUAGUAAUAGUGUAUGGUCUUGAAACUUAAAGAAUUUGGCGGUAUUUUAGUCCAUUUAGAGGAAUCUGUCCCAUAAUCGAUAAUCCGCGUUGGACCUUACUUAGAAUAAAUUUAGUAUGUAUACCGCCGUUGUUAAAAAUCUUUUUAGAGAUUAGAAAUUUUUUUAAGUUUUAUUAAAAAGUGUUUCAGGUCAAGGUGCAGCUUAAUAUUUAAGAGGUGGUGGAUUACAAUAUUUUUAUUUAUAUGGAUUAUUGAUUGAGAUAAAUAAAUAUGAAGGUGGAUUUAAUAGUAAUAUUGUUAAUAAUAUCAAUAUGAUUGAGGCUCUAAAAUAUGU